UACAGAGGUCUCAAGCGUUGUUCGGAUUCAUUGGGCGUAAAGGGUGCGUAGGUGGCGCCGUAAGUCAGGUGUGAAAUUCGGAGCUUAACUCCGAAACUGCAUUUGAUACUGCGGUGCUUGAGGACUGGAGAGGAGACUGGAAUUCACGGUGUAGCAGUGAAAUGCGUAGAUAUCGUGAGGAAGACCAGUGGCGAAGGCGGGUCUCUGGACAGUUCCUGACACUGAGGCACGAAGGCCAGGGGAGCAAACGGG
rnacentral:rRNA from 1 species